rnacentral:rRNA from 1 species
UACGUAGGGUGCAAGCGUUUGUCCGGAAUUAUUGGGCGUAAAGAGCUCGUAGGCGGUCUGUCGCGUCUGCUGUGAAAACUCAGGGCUUAACCCUGAGCUUGCAGUGGGUACGGGCAGACUAGAGUGCGGUAGGGGAGACUGGAAUUCCUGGUGUAGCGGUGAAAUGCGCAGAUAUCAGGAGGAACACCGGUGGCGAAGGCGGGGUCUCUGGGCCGUAACUGACGC